GCGAGAUUAGAGACUGACUAAAAACACGCUUGGUUUCGACCCCUCUGGCUGUGAAGUGUAGCGCGGGUUGACAGCGUCUGAUGGACAACGGGGAAAGGAUUAUAUUUUACAUACACCGGACACAUACUUCAUUUUAUAACUCAGUGAAAUUCUGGCUAAUGAUUGUUGUCUGACACCGGGAGCAGUGCCUCGAGGCAACUGCCAAAAUGAAGGAAACAUCAACAUGGAGUGUCUUAAAAGGGCUCUGGGCCACUACUACAUAGACUCUACAAGUGUCUGGAAUUCUGUUGGAGGGAUGGGACAACAUUCUUCGGCACUAUCUACAAAGGUCAGUGGGAAAAAGUUGUGAUGGACUACUUUCUGGAGGACGAUCGUGCCAUGCUGACUCUCUCCGACUCUGAAAAUGAAUCAGACGAUGAGGAAAUCCCUGAUUUACAAUACUGUUCAAAAGAUUGGGGUCAUUUAGAAAUGUCCUUGUUUUUUUAAAGAAAAGCCCUUUUUUGUCCAUUAAUAUAACAUUUGUCAGAAAUACAGUGUAGACAUUGUUAAUGUUGUAAAUUACUAUUGUAGCUGGAAACGGGUGAUAAAAGAAAUGGAAUAUCUACAUAGGCGUACGGAAGCCCAUUAUCAGCAACCAUCACUCCUGUGUUCCAAUGGCAUGUUGUGUUAGCUAAUCCAAGUGUAGAAUUGUAAAAGGCUAAUUGAUCAUUAGAAAAUAAUUUUGCAAUUAUAUUAGCAUAGCUGAAAACUGUUGUACUGAUUAAAGAAACAAUAAAACUGUCCUUCAGACUAGUUGAGUAUCUGGAUCAUCAGCAUUUGUGGGUUGAAUUACAUCCUCAAAAUGACCAGAAACAAAUAACUUUCUUCUGAAACUCGUCACACUAUUCUUGUUCUGAAAAAUAAAGGCUAUUCCAUGCGAGAAAUUGCCAAGAAACUGAAGAUCUCGUACAACUCUAUUUACUACUCCCUUCACAGAACAGCGCAAACUGUC